rnacentral:rRNA from 1 species
GAGAUAUCCCGGGAAACUGGGGCUAAUACUUCAUAGGAGACGGGUGCUGGAAUGCUCUGUCUCUGAAGGGUCUGCCGUCUGAGGAUGAGUCUGCGUCCGAUUAGGUUGUUGUUGGGGUAACGGCCCAACAAGCCUGUGAUCGGUACGGGUUGUGGGAGCAAGAGCCCGGAGAUGGAUUCUGAGACACGAAUCCAGGCCCUACGGGGUGCAGCAGGCGCGAAAACUUUACAAUGCUGGCAACAGCGAUAAGGGAACCUCGAGUGCCAGGUUACAAAUCUGGCUGUCGAGAUGCCUAAAAAGCAUUUCAUAGCAAGGGCCGGGCAAGACCGGUGCCAGCCGCCGCGGUAACACCGGCGGCUCGAGUGGUAACCGUUAUUAUUGGGUCUAAAGGGUCUGUAGCCGGCCGGAUAAGUCUCUUGAGAAAUCUGGCAGCUUAACUGUCAGGCUUUCAGGAGAUACUGUCUGGCUCGAGGCCGGGAGAGGUGAGAGGUACUUCAGGGGUAGGGGUGAAAUCUUGUAAUCCUUGAAGGACCACCAGUGGCGAAGGCGUCUCACCAGAACGGACCUGACGGCAAGGGACGAAAGCUAGGGGCACGAACCGGAUUAGAUACCCGGGUAGUCCUAGCCGUAAACGAUACUCGCUAGGUGUCGGCCACGGUGCGACCGUUGUCGGUGCCGUAGGGAAGCCGUGAAGCGAGCCACCUGGGAAGUACGGCCGCAAGGCUGAAACUUAAAGGAAUUGGCGGGGGAGCACCACAACGGGUGGAGCUUGCGGUUUAAUUGGAUUCAACGCCGGAAAUCUUACCGGGACCGACAGCAAUAUGAAGGCCAGGCUGAAGACUUUGCCGGAUUAGCUGAGAGGUGGUGCAUGGCCGUCGUCAGUUCGUACUGUGAAGCAUCCUGUUAAGUCAGGCAACGAGCGAGACCCA